GAGGAUGUCUCUGCUUCUCUCUCCCUUUCUCUUUCAUUUCCUUUCCCAGAAAAGGAACAGCCGAAAGGUUCUGUUUCACAAAAUGAGCAGCCAAUGCCUGAAACAAGACGGGGUAAUACACCUCUGCUUUUCUUUGGGGGGCUCGGCAACAAGUAGGGUGAGAUUACCAAUAACGGUGUACAUUAUAGUUAUUCACAUGGAUGCGGUAG
rnacentral:lncRNA from 1 species